CUACGGGGCGCAGCAGUGGGGAAUAUUGCACAAUGGGCGCAAGCCUGAUGCAGCAACGCCGCGUGGGGGACGACGGCCUUCGGGUUGUAAACCUCUUUUAGUAGGGAAGAAGCGCAAGUGACGGUACCUACAGAAAAAGCACCGGCUAACUACGUGCCAGCAGCCGCGGUAAUACGUAGGGUGCAAGCGUUGUCCGGAAUUAUUGGGCGUAAAGAGCUCGUAGGCGGUUUGUCGCGUCUGCUGUGAAAAUCCGAGGCUCAACCUCGGACCUGCAGUGGGUACGGGCAAACUAGAGUGCGGUAGGGGAGAUUGGAAUUCCUGGUGUAGCGGUGGAAUGCGCAGAUAUCAGGAGGAACACCAAUGGCGAAGGCAGAUCUCUGGGCCGUAACUGACGCUGAGGAGCGAAAGCGUGGGGAGCGAACAGGAUUAGAUACCCUAGUAGUC
rnacentral:rRNA from 1 species